GUGCUCACUUCGGCAGCACAUAUACUAAAAUUGGAACGAUGCAGAGAUUAGUGUGGCCCUGAGCUGAGGAUGACGUGCAAAUUUGUGAAGCACUCCGUAUUUUU
rnacentral:snRNA from 1 species